rnacentral:misc_RNA from 1 species
GAGGCCUCCUGGUCAAAUGGAUCCCAAAGCUUUCUUAUUGCAGAAGUUCAACGCAACAGCUCGAGAGCGAAUUGAUACUGCUAUACCAGAGGGAGUUGCUGCAUUAAAAUACAUUUUAUCAAAAGGCUUGACAGAGUGUGCAAGACAUUUCAACCAAGAACAAAAGUACAAGCAUUUAAGAUUGCAAACAUGCCAACAAACAUAGCAUGCCUAUGUGUUAGAUUUCUUUCACAUAAUUUGACCGACCCUUGUGGAAGGUAUUUCAGAGACAUGGAUUUUCUUUUUUAAAUACACUUUUGAUAAAAUUGUACUGUAAAUUAGUAAAGUUUUGCUC